CUGACUCUGUGUGUUUGCAUAUGUGUCCUGCCUCUCUGCUCCCAGCCGUUAAGAGGCCAGUGUUGAUCAGUGGCUGUCCAGGCCUUUCACAGCCACUGACACGCCGGCAGCACAAUGAUGAUGUCACUGACUCUACUGCUGGCCACCCUGGGGCUCCUUGUUCAGGGUUCAUCAGGAGAAAUCAUCCUGACUCAGUCUCCUGGAUCUCAGUCUGUUCUUCCAGGACAGUCUGUCUCCAUCACAUGUAGAUCCAGUUCAAGUAUCAGUAACUACCUCCACUGGUACCUUCAGAAAUCUGGAGAAGCUCCUAAACUUCUUGUUUAUUAUGCUACAACUCGUCAUUCUGGAGUUUCUGAUCGUUUCAGUGGAAGUGGAUCUGGGUCUGACUUCACUUUGACCAUCAGUAGAGUUCAGACUGAAGAUUCAGGAGUUUAUUAUUGUUCUCAGAGUGGUCACAGCUUCCCAUUCACACAGUGAAAACCCGUCGUACAAAAACCUCCCUCAGCUGAAGAGGAACUGAUCAACAGCUGCAACGAAACCAAACUAACAGAGGUUUGAAAAAUACAAAUAUAAAUCAUAAAAUGACACAAACCUCAAUCAUAUUUUAAAUAUUUUUUACAAUACUUUUAAUGUUGUUAUGAACAUAUUAAUUCUAGUUUUACACAUGACUGCUUUUCAUCUAUUUUUCUUUUAUUAUUGUUUCUUCACCACAAGUGCAAUAAUUCUAGUGCAAUAAUCUAAUGUGUACUUUUAAAUUUACUUAUAUAUUUCUUCAUUUUU